UACAGAGGGUGCGAGCGUUGUCCGGAAUCACUGGGCGUAAAGGGCGCGUAGGUGGCCUGAUAAGUAGGGGGUGAAAUCUCGAGGCUCAACUUCGAGGCUGCCUCCUAAACUGUCAGGCUUGAGCAGAGUAGAGGCAGGUGGAAUUCCCGGUGUAGCGGUGGAAUGCGUAGAGAUCGGGAAGAACAUCGGUGGCGAAGGCGGCCUGCUGGGUCUCUGCUGACACUGAGGUGCGAAAGCGUGGGGAGCAAACAGG
rnacentral:rRNA from 1 species